CUCCUACGGGAGGCAGCAGUGGGGAAUAGUUGCACAAUGGGCGCAAGCCUGAUGCAGCAACGCCGCGUGAGGGACGACGGCCUUCGGGUUGUAAACCUCUUUUAAGUAGGGUAAGAAGCGAAAGUGAACGGUACCUGCAGAAAAAGCAACCGGCUAACUACGUGCCAGCAGCCGCGGUAAUAC
rnacentral:rRNA from 1 species